rnacentral:rRNA from 1 species
UACGUAGGGGGCAAGCGUUGUCCGGAAUUAUUGGGCGUAAAGAGCGCGUAGGCGGUCCGGUAAGUCGGCUGUGAAAGUCAAGGGCUCAACCCUUGAAAGCCGGCCGAUACUGUCGGACUAGAGUCCGGAAGAGGCGAGUGGAAUUCCUGGUGUAGCGGUGAAAUGCGCAGAUAUCAGGAAGAACACCCGUGGCGAAGGCGGCUCUCUGGGACGGUACUGACGCUGAGACGCGAAAGCGUGGGGAGCGAACAGG